UUAUUUUUCUAACGUUGUUUGGAAAUUGCCACAUCAAGGCCUAAUUUUCUAGUGAUCUGCCUAGCGCCCAAUAGCUAGCUAGCCUCUCUACUCAAGCAUUGAGGCAUCACCCCCUUCUACCCACCUAGGGCAUUUUCAGAUCAGUGUUUUGAAACUUUGCUUCGUAGUGGUACUCUUUUCUUAUUGUAACUGACUGUAUGCUGAGAGCGAAUAUCUAUAUGCUGAGACUUUGCUGAUUUCUUUUUUCCUUUGCAUUAGGUUCGUGAACUAGCUGAGAAGGAACCUGAGAAUGGUGUUUUCAAAAUGCUCCGAAAUGACGUCACUCGUUUCCUGACAACUAUUCUCAUUGGCACAACGUAAUCCAUGGCAUUUCUAAGUUGUGCAUCACUCAUUGCAAUUUUGUUUUACUAACCCUAAACCCUAAUCUCGGGCAUAAUUUGUAUGAAAUAGUGUGGUCAACAUUGGCGCAACAGCAAUUGUUACUGAGGCAGCAACAGCAAUGUUUGGUGAAGCAGGUGUUAGUGCAGCAACAGGUGUCAUGACAGUAUGUCUCCUGUCUCAUACUGGCCUUCUGCUCUUGUGUAAGUGUUCUUUAAUCUAACUAUGGAGCACCAUUUUUUAGGUUGCCAUCUUACUUCUUACAGAGAUCACUCCCAAAAGUGUUGCAGUCCAUAAUGCCACCGAGGUCGCUAGGUUUGUGGUAAGGUGAGAGAUAUCAAGUAUAACUUAGUUUCAAACAUGUUUAUUUUGAGUACUGAACAUUGUGCAUUUGUUGCGAUAUAUCAGACCGGUCGCAUGGCUUUCGCUGAUCCUCUAUCCAGUUGGGCGGAUUGCUACUUUUCUGUCUAUGGGAAUGCUAAAGAUUCUAGGCCUGAAAGGGAGAAGGUAAGACUGUAAGAGUAUGUAUAAUACUCUAGUUCUUGAUCAACUAGAAGAUAAAUUCUUUGAAAAUAUGCCAACUCAAUAAGCUCAUGUUAGUCAUAGAUUAUAUCCCCCAUUAGUUAUGAUAUGCUUUCAAGAAGGAUACACAAACAAUAAAUUAAUUCAUGCCACAAGAACCACACAGAACUCUUUUUUAAGAGCAUAUGGCUUGCUCUGCGUAGUGGAUAUAACCAGGGAAGCACAAGGAUUGAGUUUCUAGGUGUGUGUGGGUUCUGCUCAGGUGGGCAACUCUAGCUUCAUCCAUCUGUAUCUUUUUCUUGAUGAAAUGGCAUGCAGCUCUUUUGCGUCAUUCGAGAAAAAAUAACCAGGGAAGCACACUGAUUGAGUUCCUGGUUCCUGCCAAAUAAAAUCUCACCUGUUUUCUUUUAAAAAUGGAUUAAACUUGUAUAUUACUAGAAUUCAAGUACAAAUGAGAUGGUACAACAUGGACUAGAUUAGACUAGUUUGAGUAUGUGUUGAGUCUAGUUUAUAGGGUGAUAGUUGUACUUUCUAAAAUUUCUAUAAUUAGUAAAUAGUGCAGUGACUAUAUUUUUAAUCAAUAGAUGACCGUUGACACUAUUCCAAGAAUUGCAUAUCAUCUGUUAUUGUUCAUGAAGGAUCUAAUUCUAGUUUGAAUUUGCUAGAAACUUAUUGAUUGCUUUCUGUAUAAUUUAGUUUACAAAUUGAAUUUAGUAUCUGAUAUUGUAAUACAAUACACAUUUGUAUGUUAUUUUUUGCAUUUUUUUUACAAAAUCCAGUACUCAAGUACAUUGAUUUGCUAUGUCUUUUAGUUACUACAUUUGUAUAUGUUUAACCAAUAUACAAUUGAGAUUCCUAUAUAGAUAAGAUUUAGUUUUUCUUUUUCAUAACUCUUGACAUUUCUGGAGAUCUACUUCUGAAUCUUGUGCAUCAUAUACACUUCUUUCCUCAGUGAACCAUAUGUUACUGAAGAUGAACUGAAGUUAAUGUUACGAGGAGCAGAGUUGAGUGGUGCAAUUGCAGAAGAUGAACAGGUUAGACAAUCUAGUAUAUGGAGAUGCCCAUAUAUUGUGCUGCAUAUUUCCUUCUUUAUUCUUUAUGUUUCUGUGUACCUCACAGCAAGAUUUUGUUAUCCAGUGCAAUCUAGGCAAAGCCUUUACUUACAAUUUUUAUAUCAUAUAGAAAGCUGACUACUUACAUAAAUAAAGAGUGAAUUAAUGAAAUUUCAGGAAAAUAGUAACUAACGUUUUUGCAUGAUUUUAACUGCUAAUUUAAUGUUUGUACACCAUCUCAUCACAUAUAUCCAGAAUUUGAAAAGCAGUAUGGCCCCAAAGGUUUGAGUUAGAUUAUACUGUUGCAGACUAGGAUUUUGCCUCUUGAUAGUUUACUAGCACACUUUGGCUACUUCUUUGUUUUCUUGAAAACGCAGGAGAGCUGCACUUCAUUAUAUUAAGAGGAUAAAGGGCAAGAGCCCGAACAACCCCACAAACACCAUACACACACCACACACAUCACACACUCACGCCCCAACAGAAAUGUUACAUUCGCGCCCGUAAGAAAACACACAACGCGACCACUACUAGGCUAAACAUUUCUAACUAUCGGGGAGGAGGGCAGUCAAGAAUGAUAGCUCUCGAGCUGCUGCCAUAGACCAUAAACGGCGCUCCUCGCCUGCUAUGAUCAGAGCGCCAGCAAGGUUUGGAGCUGCUCCAUCAAAGACACACCCAUUGCGAUGGUUCCAUAUAGUCCAAGCUCCGAGCAUAACAAGAGAAUUAAUUCCUUGCCUUGUCAGCCCAUCAGCAGUGCUGCUAGCCUUCUCCCACCAAGCAUGGAAGGAUAAUUCUGUAAGCUGAGGGGACAAAAGCCUGAUUGAACCAAAAUUCUCUUGUGAACACACAAUGGACAAGUAGAUGGUCGAUAGUCUCCUUUUCAUGGUCACAAAGGAGGCAAUUCUCCGGAUGAGGUAACCCUCGGCGUGCUAGACGAUCAGCUGUCCAGCACUUAUUGUGCGACCAGCCACAUAAAGAAACGGCAUUUGGGCAGCACCCAUGAUUUCCAAAUCUUUUCCCAUGGUCCAAAAAGAGUAGAUCCGAAAAAGAAGCCUUCAUAUGCCGAUUUAGCCAAGUAUUGUCCAUUAGAGGAGAGCCUCCAUAGGUGCUGCAGCUGAAAAUCCAGAAGUAGAUCCCACCAUAAGUGAAAGUAGUCAACAAACCCACCAACUGUGAGCGCUCCUUGUAUGUCCAAAAUCCAAGCCCGGUUAGUAAGGGCAUCCUGGACAGUAUGCUGCUUAACCCUCCUUUUAGGAGUAGCCACAAAAAGUCGAGGGGCAAGAUCUGCAAUGCAUUGCCCAUUGAUCCGAUCUGUCCAGAAAAGAGUGUUUGCACCAUCCAAUUUCAGAAGUUACUGCCACUGAGUAGAAGGCUCUUACUUGCUUCGGCACAUGGAAUGGUAGAGCAGCCCAAGGACAAUGAGGUUCUGUUUUCUGCAGCCAAACCCAUCUCGUGCGCAAGGACCAGCCAAGGGUUUUUAAAUCUGAAAUUCCCAGGCCUCCAAGCUCUGGUGGGCCACAGACUUUGACCCAAGCCACAAGACAAUGACCACCUUUUUGCAUAUUUUCGACCCCUCCAAAGAAAGCCACGCCAAAUUUUAUUUACCACUUUGAUAGCCAUGGAGGAAAGUCGAAAGCAAUAGCUAAGUAAAUGAGCAUUCUCAGUGAGAACUGAUUGUACUUGAACCCUUCUUCCAGCCCUUGUCAUUAGGUCUGCCUUCCAGCCAGGAAGUUGAUCUGCAGUACGAUCAAUAAUAGGCUGCACUUGUUUCUUUAGGGAGAGGGGCAGACCUAAGUAUUUGCAUGGGAAAUCCGAGAGGGGCACACCUAGCUAGUUUCUUUGGCUACUGUUAUCCUUUAGGUAUUUUGCAGAACCUUUCCAUAGCAAUCCCAUUAAUCUUUAGGAAGCGAUCCCAUUUGUUAAAGCCCCUGCAGGCAACUUUCAAGUUCAUUAUUCUCGAUCACAGGUAGUCAUUCUGCAUAUUUUUCCCUCAGAAUCAUCAUAAGAAUUGGGUUAAGUGGAUAGGUCAGACUAUAGCAUGGAAAUACAUAAGUACUGAUAGGUUGUUGAAACUAUCUAAGACUACAGAUUUAUCGUGUCAAUUUGUCACAAAUAACAGAUUUUAGCUGAUGAAAUCAGUACUUCUGCAGUACAUAGAAAUACUAAAUGUGUAGUUUUAGUUUUGCAAAAACAAGGACACUAAAUUUAUAAUUCUGUGAUAAAACUUCUUAAAUCUGUAGUUUUGUGAUAGCAUAGCCCACUCACACAUAUACAAAAAAAAAGAAAAAGAAAAAAAGGAACCAUAUAGUUAUUUAUGUGCUUAGAUUCUAGGCCCUAGAACUAGAACCUAUAGCUGUGUUACACUAUUAUGAAUUCCUAGUCCGUGCCUGCUUGUGCAGGACACUUUUCUACUUGAUCAGCUAAAGUCAGCACCUGAGUCUUUUAACAGGAUAUGAUCGAGAAUGUCCUGGAAAUUAAAGAUACACAGGUGAGGGAAGUAAUGACGCCUUUGGUGGACGUAGUUGCAAUUGAUGCUAUUGCAACACUUAUUGAUUUCAAAAACUUGUGGGAAACUCAUCAGUACUCUAGGUAUUGUCAACUAUUAUUGUCGCGUGUAUUUUCAAGUCUUAUCACUGACAUCUGCUGCUAUUUGUUAUUUCCAGAGUUCCUGUAUUUGAGGAGCGCAUAGAUAAUAUUGUUGGAAUUGCAUAUGCAAUGGACAUGCUUGAAUAUGUUGAAGAGGUAUGUCUCUUGUUUACCAUUUAAUGUAAAACUUAAUCACAGUGAGUCUUAUUUGCUCCACAUGAUGCUUCUCUAAAGGGAAAGUAAAAGGUGUAUUUUUCUUUUGAAGGUUGAGAAGCUGAAUGAAAUCACUGUUAAGAAAAUCGCACAUAUGCCUACAUACUUUGUUCCAGGUAAUUUUUAGUAACAUUGUUGGAUACAAGUAUCAUGAUGAACUAAAAGAAGGCAUCUGUCAGUAGUUAUAGGGUUGGAUGUUUUUCCACAACAAUUAAUCAUUUCUGCCACAUGUUUUCUCCCAUCUAUGCAUCAUGGAUGUAACAUAUGAUACUGUUUCAUCUGGCAGAUUCAAUGUCUGUUUGGAACCUAUUAAGAGAGUUCCGGAUCAGGCAGGUUCAUAUGGCAGUGGUCCUUAAUGAAUAUGGUGGAACUAUUGGUGUAUGUCCCUAUGAAACCCAUUUUUUAUACUUUACAAACUGGACACAGUUUAGUACUUGUUAAUAUUCUUGUUAUGCUUUCAUCCAAGGCUAGUUGCUCAAUUGAGACCAUUUUGACUUAUGGCACACAACGAGGUUCAACAUUGUUUACUCCAAUCAAUUUUUAGUUGUAACUUCCAAGCAUGCUAGUUAGUUUGCUAAUAAUUGAUGAAUGCUAGUCAGUACAUGGUGACAUUUUGAUGGCCAUUUAUUGGCAACACUACUGGCUUUUGUUCCACAAUGGUCGUGUUUUUAGCACAAGCAUGUGGUGCGAUGCUUCAAGUGAUCUUGCUGCACAGCUUAUGUAACUGCAGCAAUGGGGCACUUUUCAUCUGUUGCAGUAGCAGUCCCUGUUGUUCAUGGUUUGUUUCCUUUUAAGAUAUACCCCACACAUAGAGAUUAGUUAUGCUCCAUGCAGCAGAGAUUAUUACUUUCCACAAGUUUAGAGAUUGUUUCUUAGGAAGUAGUUAUGCUCACAGUUUGUUCAUCAGUUUCUGUUUUCAGAAGUAGUUGAUGAGCGAUGAACAUGUUUUGAUUAUGUUUGCUGCUGAAAGGAUAAUUCUUUAAGAUGUUUUUCUCAUUACUGAUGCUCAUUGGUAAAAGUUGCAAAUGAUUGGACAAAGCUACUACCCGUGAGCUUCCUUUGUCUCACAUACCCUUCGAGCAAUUACGCUUUAAUGUAGCAAUAUCUAUCCAUUACUUGCAGCAACUAAGUCCUAUUGUAUUCAGAAAUGUUUAUUAGAACAGUUUGUAAUUUCAUAUGUUUAUCACUGCAUGGGACAUUGGGAAUUACUCUGACCUUUGGCCAAAAAAAAAUGCAGAUUGUAACACUAGAAGAUGUAGUGGAAGAAAUAGUUGGUGAAAUAUUUGACGAGAAUGAUUCCAAGGUGAUUAUUUCUGGAAUUUUUUAUUUCAAAUCGCAAGUGGGUGUUCAGUGCCAUACAUAUGCAUGCUAUUAUUUUCUAUUUCUUUUUCAAAAUUAUUUCCCCCUUUCUUUUGGUUUAUUAUUCCCUUUUUGCCUUGUAACUAUCGUUCUUAUAUUACAUAACUGACUUUUCAUAUGUUGGUAAUAAAUAAUGAUAUGCUAGCAUUUGAACUUACGAAAUUUAGUGGGCCAAACAUACUGAGCCAUGCCAAAAAAGACAGGCAAAUCAUACAGUCAUAUUUUAGCAGCAGCAGUGCAUUAGCGCGGUGGGUACUGAGCCGGAGUUUGCAUGUGCCUGAAGGUGGCUGAAUGAAUAAGGUGGAUAUUACCCUACCCGCACCCAAAUCAAAAUGUGUAUUUUAUUUCUACCCAUACCCUCCCCAAUUAAUGCGGGUGUGGAUUUGAAUAUGGGGAUUGAAUAUCCAGCGGCAGGUAUAAAGAUUAGAUCUCCUGCCUCAGUGCUUCUCCAAGAUCUGGAAGCAGCUGCUUCACUCCUAUUUUCUGUAUCCUAGUCAAAACAAAGGAUUUUUCCAUGUAGCAAGCUAGUUGCUCUUUGUCAUUUGCUUAGGCAGUCUCUCAAUUCCUUCUGCUACUCUGUUUUUCACCCUUUCAGGAGGAAAUCCAGAAGAAAACAGGCUAUAUAGUGAGGCGGGGAGAUGGAACAUUUGAUGUUGAUGCAAAUACAUCAAUAGAUCACCUCUCUGAAGAGCUUGGUAUCAAAAUACCAGAGGUAUUGUUUCUCAUUUGAUCUUAGCUUUCUCUACAGUUGCUAUGCAUUCCCUUGGACAUGUGUAUAUUUAAGGAAGGUAUGGCUCGGAAAAUAGUAGAUUGAUUAUGAGUAGUACAAAAGGGUAGGCAAGGAUGAUCUGGGAUUUAUAGAACAAUACCCAAUCAGGGAGAUCCUUGCCUAAUAGCUAAUCAACUACAUAAAACCCAUGGAGGCAGGCUUAGGUGCCAGGGCCCAUGCGGCCAGCCCAAUAGCCCUCUGGAAACUCCAUUCUAACAUAUAUGUUGGAGUGGACACUGUAUGAUGAUCAUCGAAAUGUGAGUUCCAUCAUUUAGAGAUGCCUGGUUUGCAGAACCUAUACAGAUAUAACGUUAUUAUAUCUAUUUUUUGGUGGAAACUGGACAUUUAAUAUUUAGGUCAACAAAAUAUUCACAAAUGUUCUGUUUGUAAAAUAUGCCCUUGGUAGUCAUCAUUUAUAUGGUGCUCUGUAUUUCUGUCAUGUUUCUCGUAGAUUGGCUGAUAAUCUUGAGACACUUGGACACUAUCUUUUGGCAGGGGCAUCAGUAUGAGACGGUGUCUGGUUUUGUCUGUGCAUCUUUUGGCUAUAUUCCAGAAGAAGGUGGGAAAAUGCUUGUGAUUCUUGAAAAGGAUUACAGAGAAGAAAACGGUGAAUAUCAGGAGGAAGGUUCUGAUCGCCAAGAUGAUAGAGAAAAAACUCAAGCUUACGAACUUGAGGUAAUUGUUACAACUCCUUGUGUACUCUGUUUGCUCAAGAGUUCUAGUACCAGGUCAAUUAUUAUAAUGCGAUUAUCUUGUCAUCGCUAGAAAUCUUUACUAGUAUAUAUAACUAUUAUGAAUUUUCCUUCAUUACUUGAAAGCUGAAAGACACCACAAAAGCUUCAAUUUUCUUUGUUGAUGCAAUACCAUGAAACCUUUUUUGUUAAAUAACUCUCAUUAGAACCAAUUUUCCAUACAGGGCAUUUGGUUCUUAGAUCAUUUUAUAGGAUAUUUCGUACUAUAAGUAAGAACCAACUACUAUCCACAAUUACCUCUACAUGCUUGUUUGUGCAUAUAAAAAGACAACAAUACUCAGAAGGUUGCUGUAACAUGUCCACACUCCGCUUUUGUGGUGCUAAUACUACCGAACAUUUGUAAUUGCUUUUUUUAUUUGAAGCUAAAAAAAGAAAGUAUACAAAAACUAAUAGAUAAGAAAACCAACUACUCAAUUGUCAAUUCAGAAUUCAUACUGUGGGUUAUAAGGUUAUUUCAGUGAAAUUGUUUUGGUAUUGGUACACAACCUUUAUUAGUUGGUGCAACUCCCAUUUCCGGAAGUCUUCGUACACUUUAAUUGAAUUGCUGCAGCCCUAGGAAUCCAUAGUUUCUGUUUCACAAUUCACCCAAAGUUUCAUUCUUUGUUGCAGAAUUAAAUAACCUUCUGUAGUUGUUUUCACUACCUUUAUUACCUGGCUUCUCUUGCUCACAGAUAGUGGAAGCUAAUGCAAGGAAGGUGGGCAAAGUCCUAUUUAAGCCAAUAAGCAGUGAAUGUGUUGGUGUUGACAACAAGGGUGUGAACCGCCUGGUCUCCAAGAAGAUCAUCAAACGGAAGAAGCAGGGCUAUGAUGAUUCCUCCGGUGACGAGUAUCCAGAUACAACAGAGAAUGGCUGCCCUGCUGAGGCACUCUCCUACUCGGAUGGUAACAGUGCCUUGUUGGAAGAUGCAAGCAGUUCUAGUGCCAAGAGGUGACAAUAAAGGAACUCCAAGACCAUCGUACUACUGGUAAUAAUUACAGCACACCGUCACCGGUCCUAAUACCCCUUGUUACAACAGAAGAAGAUGAGAAGAACAUAGUAGUAGGCUACCCAAAAAAAAAAACUGCGAGAGCAACACCAAGAGGUUAACAGCAGUUUAAGGCAUUGCAACAUUUUUCAGUAGCAGGAGUAGCAGUAGUAGCAGUCUAGAGGUGCAGCGAGGUGUCGACGUCGACUUCACCAGAGACAUGUUUGUAGUUGUAGGUCUUACUGGGCCACAGCUCCACCGCAAUGGGGUCGCUAUCGCCGUGGAGCUGGAAGCUUUUGCAUUCACAGACAGUGGUUGGCACGGCCGGGAAUAAGGAGGCUGCGGCGGCAACAGCGGCAGUGGUUUCCCGCAGCGGCCUGCACGGGUAGAGCAGCUCCGGGUGGAAGAACCACUUGACGGGCAUCUCCCUCGGGGAGGCGGUGGCCGCAGGGCGGGGGGCGAGCACGUGGAGAAGCCUCUCCUCCCGCUUCUCCCUGAUCCUCUCCAGCUCCCUGAACCUCUGCUGCAGCAGGGCGAUGGAGGAGAACAUCACCUGGCCUUCGCUGCUCUGCACCCCCAUGAUGACUGGGCGAGAGGGGGAGCUCUCACUCCAGCUCCGAGUUUCAGUUACGUGUUCGUGUCGUGUGUAUCUCACUCAAGCGUCUGUCUACUUCGCUCGGUGUGUGUGGGGGUUUUGCUUGCUGCUUGAAGGGGUGGUGGUCUUGGGCAUGUGCGUAUUUAUAAGCCGCAAAGUUUUGUCACGGCGCAGGGCGUCGUCUUGUGGUCGUCUUGCAAGUUGCGCCAAUUCUUUCAUCUUCAUCUUCCAUUAUGUGAUGCUAUGCCUGUUUGUGUGUUUUGUUUAUGGGCUGAUUGAAAAACAAAAGAGGCACUAUUGGUAUGAGAGAGAAUCUGGGAGGAGAAUGUCACGUCGCCCGAGAAAGGAAGUGGGAGGCGUGCAGGUGAGAGAAUAAGGGGCGUGGCGUGGGAGAGUCCAAGGAAAUGGGGCUGUGGACGCUUGCGCUUGUUCCGUUCCUGGCGGUGGGAAUCGCCGUGUGCCGUUGUGAUGUGCGGGGUGGCCAUGAUUGCGCCUCUGUUUGUCUGUCACCUUUUUCCCUUGCGCAUUGCUGCAGCAGCAGGGCAGGGGAGAGGUCUGCAUGCCCUGCCAUGCCCUGCCCUGCUGCUCGUACUAGCUCGCUACUACUCCCUUCCCCCUCUCCAUCCAAACGGGCACUGCGAGCUUUUCCUGGUCUAUAAUGGCGUCGUUGGAGCUGUAGUACGUGCUGUUCGUAGCAACUGUGGGCAGCGCUUUCAGGUGUGGAACUGUGCACUCCAUGAGCCAUUGUCUUCGUUUGCGUGUGUGAACGUGUUGGAGAGUCUGGGAGCAGAAAGUCUGCGUUGAACGUUACUUCUUUGGGUCUUUGACUGGUGCGUCCAUAGAUCUGUGAAUGGGAGCGCUGAUUGCACGCUGCGUAGUACAGUGCGUUCGAGUAACGCUGAGACGGCGUGCUGCUUUGAAGUUUCAACUUUUGGUUAAUUCAGGAAAGUUGAUUGAUCUUAUGUUUUUUGACGGCCAGGUAAACACGGCCAAUUGCACCGGCGUCAAAAAGACCUCUGUCAUCCGAUGCUUUGGACAGUAAUUGAGAUAUUCGUAACAAAUGCUUCACUACCCGAAGAGAAAACUAGUUUUCGUUGGUUUCCGCAUUUUGUGAAAAUAAGAAAGGGCAUGUUUGAGUCAGAGUCGGGUUAUUAUAAUUGGAUUAUCGACUCUAAUAAUUAGAGUGCUAGAUUUUUUGUGGUGGAACCUAUCCAUUUCUUGCCUAGCCAGCCAACUAUCAUGAUGCUACAUGGUAUUUAAGUAACGACCAUUUUCUCAAAUGGUCAAGGAUUAUAUUCUUCUUUGAUUUUUUUUUCCCUUCAAGUGGCCUAGGGUUUUGUAGUCUAAUGUGAACAAUAUCAGGUGAAAACAAAAUAGCAUCAAAGAAUAGAUAGCCAAAAUGCCUAACGAAAAGGAAAAUUGUGGGUUACAUGUCUCAUGAAUUAUUUGAUGAAGUAGAAUAAGAUACGUUCGGUUAUUUGAGAGAAAAAAAAACUGCACAACAUAAAAAAAUAACUGUUUGCCUAGUUGGCUAAGAAAAAAUAUAGUGGGCUCCAUGGCUCCUAAGACUCUUUAAAUAUCAUGUAAAUGGAUAUAAAAGAAGUCAAUAAAUCAUUCUGCUGAUAUUGACUGAAUUAUUUGCUAUCAACAAUUAUCCAAAAAAGAUUUCUUUAAGAAUAAUAUUUCUACCAUGUAAAACAAGAAGAAAAAGACAAAUUAAUCGGAACUUUUGUUUGUGGCUGGAACUAUUGUAAAUGUCAUUGUUGAGUUGAGAUAUUUUUUUUUUGAAGUUCCCUUUUUGCGAGGAAUGAGUAAUCUGAACGUUAUUUGUUUGUGGUUGUUGAUUCCCUGGAGCUGUUAUAGAAGUCAUUAUUGAGUAGAGAUUUUUUGAAGUUCCUUUUUGCAACGAAUGAGUAAAUAGUUGCAUAGAUGUUUGAUGGUAUUAGCAUACUCUGCUUCUAAAAUAAUGAAAGGGAUUUUCCGUUACUAUUUAGUUGUGGACUGAGGCCUGAAGAAGUAUGUUUUGAAACUCGGAAUUUCAUGGAGGAUUUGUAGGAAUCCCAUAUAUAAUAAACAUGUCAAAAUUAAUCCUCCUAUAUUUUCUUGGUCAUUUUCUAGAGCUAGGCUCAUUUAUCUUUAAUUUGUCUAGUGAAGAGUAUAUGUAUAUCCUUUGCUCCAAACAUGUAGUGGUGAGUGGAGUUUACUAAUAUUAUUAUGUGUAGUUAACCUAGAACUAGAAGCUUGGUAACUGAGCCUUAUCUAAUCUGGCCCUAAACUAACUUAUCAUCCAAACUGAUCAGUUGGAGUCUUGUGACGAUGAUAUCUCUGGUUUGUUGUGGAACGGGACUAGUACUGCCGGACAUAUUAUACAUUGGAUGCAUGCGACAUAUAUACAGUGUUGAACUUGUUUAUAUUAAUUUAUCCUGGAUAGCCAAUAGUAGCCCAUAACAUUAACAUGCAACAUAGUAUAUGCAUUUGCAUGUACUGCUAGUUCCCUGCUACGUACGAUCCUGACAGUAGGCACCUAAUCUUUCCAUGCCCCAAUAUUUUACCGCCGCUGUCGCUUCCAUUCUAGAGAGAGAACAAUAUGACCAUCUUGUAAAACAUUCUAGAGAAGAGAUGCAUGGAGAGUAUGGCAAUAAUUUAAGCAGAUUGAUGGGAGCGAGAUAUUUUUAAAGGCAGAUCAUCGAUUGAUGCAUGGGAGCGAGAGAGCUUAGCAGAGAAAAUAAAGAAGAUUGGUGAUUGGUGAUAGGCCGGGGCAGCCGUGGUGCAGCAGCAGCUAGAACUAGAGAAGCUAAAAGGAAGGCUGAUGGCAGGGCAGGGCAGUAGUUUAAGGACGGGUCCAUGCCUGCAGCUAGCUAGCAUCUAUCGACGUUCCUCCGUUGUCGCGGAGCCGGUGGACGCGAAUGGCAUGCGUGGGUGCACUACCCUGCUGAUGCACACAGCAUGCAUUGCUGCCUGCAUGCGACAUGGUAUACAGCUCCCGGCCGGCGUCUCUCCUCUCCUCUCUUCUCUUCUCUUGUCCAUCCAUCGGCAGCAUACGGUCGGUCACUCGCAGCAUGCAUGCUCCUCUGAUCGAGCUCUGCUGGUGUCGUGUCGUGUCGUCGAUGGAUCGGGGCCGGGUUGGGUGUUGCUGCAUUGCAUGCUCCCUAAAGCGCCGCCCUUGUUGCCAAAGUGAAUGCUGCCGACGACGACCGCCGCGCCGCCCGUCUUCUUUUUCGGCGGAGGGGGGCGGCCGGGCACGGGCACGGGCACGGCACAGUCUUCCGGGCAGGGGCAGGGGCAGCCGGGCAAGCCAACACCUGCUAGCGGACGAGAAAUUGAAUCGAAUGGGAAACAAAGAAAAAAUUGAUGGCUGAUGGCUCCAUCUUUCUUUCUGUCUGUCUGUCUGUCGGUCAGUCAUUUUACUAAUUUAUUUGACUGCGCUACGGAGACGACAGUGUAACAUUUUUAUUUGUAUUUAAUAAUUAUUAUUUAACUAUAGACUAAUUAGGCUCAAAAGAUUCGUCGCGUAAACUAUAGACAAACUGUGCAAUUAGUUUUUAUUUUCGUCUAUAUUUAGUACUUUAUACAUGUGCCACAAGAUUUGAUAUGACGGGAAAUUUUAAAAAGUUUUUGAAUUUCGAAGUGAACUGGUCAAAUAUGCAAUGCUUGUACGUGCGCACUAGUUUAUGCCAAUGAUUCAUUUUUCGCGGAUCCUCCGAAUUUCACACCAUACAGUCAGAAUAUAAUUGCUCCAAGACACGUCAAUUUUGAUGCGUCAAUUUGUGCAUGUGGUUCCUGGCACUACUGGAUCCGGCUUCUUUGCCGAGAGCCGCGAGCCCUCGGCAAAUGCCUAAAAGCCCUCGGCAAAGGCUUUGCCGAGGGCCAUAAACGCCCUCGGCAAAGCCUACGGCGCCGUCGAAAAACGUCAAUAUUGACGUCGUCUUUGCCGAGAGCCAUGCUGGCAGGCUCUCGGCAAAGAUUCUUUAUUUUUUUUAAAAAAAGCCUUUGCCGAGAGCCCUGCAGGAAGGCUCUCGGCAAAGAACCCCUUUGCCGAGAGCCAGACAUCCAGGCUCUCGGCAAAGAACCCCUUUGCCGAGAGCCAGACAUCCAGGCUCUCGGCAAAGCUGUAGUUCUUCUGAACCCGGCUUUCUAUCUUUGCCGAGUGCCAGCCAUCCAUGCUCUCGGCAAAGCUGAGAAUUUAGUUUUUUUUUCUGUUUUUUAUCUGUUUUUUACAUGCACAGCCACAUAUGUAUAUAUAUAUAUCACAAAUCCCUUUGUCUAUAUCACAAUCCACAUAUAUAUCACGCAUGAAACAUAUCGAAGUCCACAGAUAUCACAAAUCCACAUAGAUAUGACAAAUAUAACAUUACGUCCAACAUAAACCAUAAGUCACCACAAGUUCAUAACAUAAACCACAAGUCCACGUGAAUAUCACUCCUCGAAGUCGCUAGCGCCUCACCCCUAGUGCUGUGACUCUGACCUGUCGUCGCCGUGGCCUCCGUCGUGUCCCGAGCCUCCAUCUGGCCAAGCCGACCAGGGUGAGUGCCCCCCAGGGUGUGUAGAGCUCGCACCUGCCCACGGCGCCCACAUGGCCUGCCCUGGCACCGACGGGUACGGGUACGAGUACCCGGGGCGCGGAGGAGGGCUGCCGGACAACCCGGGGUGGCCGUGCUGCGGAUGGGCACCAGGCCACGUGUGCUGCGUACUUGGGUGGCCAUAAGUAGUAACCUGCCACCCACUCCUUGGAGAAGGGGUCGGGUUCGAACCCCACGACUGAUGCUACAUAAUAUAAAAGCGAACUCAUUAGUAUCUGCAGGACGGCCACACAAGCCAAAGCAAUAGACAAACAUAUAUACACUCACCGGACUGCCUGCAGGGGCAGGAACAGGGGGUGGAACAGGGGGUGGAGCGAAGAGCGAGGCAGGCAGCGGAGGCGCUGUAGAGCUGUGGAUGGACUGGAAGUAUCCGACUAGGUCCGAGAUCUGACGCUGCGUGUGCUGCUGCUGUGCCUCCAUGUGGCGCCGAUGGGCCUCGUCUCUGGCCGCCAGCGCGGCCGCCAGCUCUCGCCGAUGAGCCUCCUGCAGCUCGUCCUGCCUGGCCCGCAACUCCUCUAGCUGCGACUGCAAUAUUACACCCGCAAUGGUUAAACAAUGCAAAAGGAGAUGUAUAUAUGUAAAAAUAAUGGACGAUGGAUAAAGCUGUAGUUACCUGCAUCGUAGCUAUCUGCUGCACGGAGCUCGGCUGACGAGGCCGUAUGGGGACGUCGGAGGUCGAGCUGCUCCCCUGCCGAACCUCGCGGAGCGUGGGUACGGUGGCCGGGUUGAUUGCGCUGUGGGCAAUCAUGUACCGGCCGUGCUGCUUCCCUCCUCCCGUCCUCAUGAGCAAGUCCGUGUCCGAGACCCUUUGCCGUGGGCCGUCCAGUCUGGCUCUCGGCAAAGACCCUUUGCCGUGAGCCUAACGCGCAGGCUCUCGGCAAAGAACUGCUGACUUUUUUUAUUCUUUUUGAAUUUAGAGCUGAGUUUUUUUUUUUGUCCUUGUGACUCAAUUUCUAAAUACAUUUUAAAAUUUGGCAUUAAUUUGACUUUUUUUGCUAUAUUUAACUAAUUAAUCUUGUUUCUUUAUAUUUUUUCACAUAAUUCAAAUUUCAACUGUAGGUACAUGAAAUAUUACAACUCAAUGAUUCGAAAAAUGAUAGUCAAGAUAUUUGGUGUACGUUGAGGUCGUAACCACAACCACACAUGAAAUCUCAACCCUCUCGCUAACAUAACAUGUCAAGGAAUGUGAGGGAAAAUGGAUUUAUAAUUAUAUAAAUUUCAAAUAAACUCCAAAAAUCACGAAACUUGGCGACGUGUCGUGUUAUCGCAUGUGGAGGCUGUGGUAAAAAAUUCAUAAGGUUCCGAGCAAGUUGCGACACCGGAUGUCUAAAACCCAGACAUCUCCACAUGUUAUCGAAUGUGAUCACAUGCGGAGAUGUCUGGGUUUUAGACAUCUCGUGUCGCAACUUACUCGAAACCUUAUGAUUUUUUUACCACAGUCUCCACAUGCCAUAACAUGACACAUCGUCAAGUUUCGUGAUUUUUGGACUUCAUUUGGAAUUUAUAUAAUUAAAAAUCACUUGUACGACACAUGGAUGGUCAUGUUUUAUAUACAAGAAAUUCAAACUCUUGGGUGAGUUUAUGGAUACAACAUCAAAAUGCAGUCUUGAACAUGAGUAUAAUUUUUUGAAUGACUAUAUUUUAUUAUUUCAUGCUCCUACAGUUCAAAAUUACUUUUUCGAGAAAAAUACAAAUAAAAUAAUUUAAUUAAAAAAUAUAGCAAAAUGUUAUAAAAAGCUCUCAAAUUUGAACAUGUGCUUAUAUACAAUAUGUAAGGGUUACAGAAAAAGUUUGAGUACAAAACUAAAAAAAAUCUUUCUUCUUUGCCGAGAGCUUGACAAGGCACUUGGCAAAGGCCUCCUCUUUGCCGAGAGCCUAACGCCGUGGCUCUCGGCAAAGGUGACGACAACGGUUGCCGUUACCAGCGCUGCUCCUUUGCCGAGAGCCUAUCUUUGCCGAGAGCUAGGCUGUCGGCAAAGCUAGCCUUUGCCGAGGGCUUGCCUUUGCCGAGAGCUUGACCAUCGGUAAAGUUUCUUUGCCGAGGGUCGUUUCUGACUGUCGGCAAAGGCAGUCUUUGCCGAGGGCUAGCUCUCGGCAAAGCUGAGCCCUCGGCAAAGCUCUCGUUUCCUGUAGUGUGGGCUUUGAAUUGAUCGAUGGCAAAAAGCCGUAAUGGAAGCACGUCGCGUCUUGAAUGCAUGCACUAUAUAGGAAUAUAGCUACACAAAAGAAGAGAAAUAAUGACACACAUAGUAGUAGCUAGCUAGUAAAGUGUGUAUGUAAGGCCUUGUUUAGUUCCCAGAAAAUUUUGCAAAAUUUUUCACGGUCCCCGUCACAUCGAAUCUUUAAACGCAUACAUAAAGUAUUAAAUAUAGACGAAAAUAAAAACUAAUUGCACAGUUUGGUCGAAAUAGACGAAACGAAUCUUUUGAGCCUAGUUAGUCCAUGAUUGGAUAAUAUUUGUCAAAUACAAACGAAAGUGCUACAGUGUCGAUUUUGCAAAAUUUUUCGGAACUAAACAAGGCCUAAACCUAAAAGCCCAUGCAUUAUUGCUUUUUAAAAAGUUAAAGCGGUGAUGGAUGGUUUUGUUCAUGGCUCGAGGAGGAUGUGUCCUAGCUAGUUGUUGGUGGGGGAGGUGAGAGUACCUAGGAAAAUUUGCUUACAUUUUCCUGUACAUGCAUGCAUGCAACGCUAAUUGGAUGGAUAUGGUCGGAACAUGCAUGGGUCCACCAUUCACAUCUCUUGGUCCUACACGCACGCCUACUAUUGUGAUGCGUCUCAGCUUUUUAAUGUGCCUGCGUUGCAUGCAUGCAGCUGGGUACGUAAGGACACGCCGCAAGCUGCCCAAACUCUAGCUCUGCUUCCCGCAUUGCAUUGCAUUGUAUCUACCUCGUGGCGCAUUAGGGUUAGAGAGAGAGAGAGAGAGAGAGAGAGAGAGAGAGAGAGAGAGAGAGAGAGAGAGAGAGAGAAGUGUGGUAUAGCUAGCAUGCAUCCAUAUAUAUCCGAUCGACCUGUAGUUCAUGGCACAUUCAUUAGGUUUGGAAGAGUGAGAUCGAGGCAGGACGAUAUGUAGUACGUCGUCGUCCUUCGUAUAAACGGACAUUCGCUCAAUGUUGAAUUGUUGACAGACGACGAUGCGCGCGGCACUUUGUUUGACCAUGCAUGCAUUCAUCCGUGCAUGCAUGGAGCGUCUAUGUGCUUGUCCCUGAAUAAACUAAUUAAUCACUGCACGAACUCGAUCGCCUUGCUGUCAACUUAGCUUAGCUUAUUACAAGUGUGUUAACGACAAGCAAUCAUGGAAAUGAGCUGCAUAUAGACACUGUUCACAAUGCACGUUAUGUUGGAGCACUAGCUAUAGCUAAUUAAUGAGCCAGCAAUUAACAAAACGCCUGCUAAACCAAAAUAUGCAUUUAAGCCAUGUUUCGUUUCCUCCGGUAAAGUUUAACUCCUGUCAUAUCGAGUGUUUGGACACAUGCAUUAAAUAUUAAAUAUAAAUUAUUUACAAAACUAAAAUAAAACUAGAGAGUAAUUUGCGAAAUAAAUCUUUUAAAUCUAGUUAGUCUAUAAUUAGAUACUAAUUGUCAAAUAAAACAGAAAUAUGCUAUAUGCUACAGUACAUCCUUAACCGGCAAGUACAGGCCGGGUGAGGCAUGUCGGAUGCUAGAGAUGGCCAAAUGGGCUAAGCCCAAUAAUACGCAGCCUAAGCACAUAUGGGCCUACUAAAGCAUCGCAUUACAUUAUGGGUCGAGCCACUAUGUGUCUCGUGCCCUUUUUUACCAUUCAAAAUGGGUGCUCUCAGGAUGGAUCAUAAUUAUGCCCCUUUUUAAUUCGAGAGCAAUGUUGAUCAAAUUUCGUCGUAGUUGCAGCACAGCCAAAAAAAAAAACUAACAAAAAGAGCCUGUCAGACAACCCAUGGGCCAUCCCAGCCAGGCAAGCCUGGCCGGAAACGAUCAUCUACAGCACCGGACAAAGCGUCAGAGCCAAUCCUGGCCGUUAAUCACGCUCUGGCCCACAGGUCAUGGCUCAUCAACCAGGCUUAAGUGCUUGCCUCCUUAUUAAUCAAGGAUGCAGCGGUACGAUCCUAUAGAACAGAUCCUGUUCAAGUAAGGUCGU
rnacentral:lncRNA from 1 species